rnacentral:tRNA from 1 species
GGCUUGAUAGGAUAAUGAAUCUGUUGUUUUUAGGGGGCAAAGAUGCUGUUUGGUUUGGGCUA